rnacentral:lncRNA from 1 species
CAGGAAAUGGCAUGAAGAAACUCGAGCAGGGUGAGCCCAGGGUGAGGCUAACCAUAACAGUCCCUUUCAGCGUCUGAGCUGAAACCAAAAGAGAUGCCUGAGAGCUGUGCUGAUUGAGGGAGCGCACAUCCUAGCCUGAUGGCCGUCAAGACCUUACUCUGUCUGUGGGAGGAGGACAUGGCAUUCAUCUCAUCCUGAACCACAUGUGCCAUGGGAUGCUAGGCAAAAUCAAUGUCUUUGGUCUUGUUAAUAGUUGACCUUGGGCUUCCCAGAAAAACCUUCAAGAUCUGAGUUCAAAACUUUGCUGGAGAUUGACGGGUGGAAUAAGAUGUUCAAGUGAUGAACAUGAAGAGAAACAAAUCUCUGUAAGGCAAUCCUACCUGGCUAUAACGUCUUCUUUGGAUAAAUGGAAAAAUGGUGUAAAAAAAGUGUUUUACAACUUUAGAAAUAAAAAAAUACAAGAGAAAAAUUAAAUUAGAUAAUAACCUGAAGAAAAUCAGCUUAUUCCUCAGGAUGGAUGGUAUGAACCAGCUUCACCAAAAGUAGGAUAUUUCACAGUGUUUUGCUAAUGUGGGAAUCUUGAAGUAUAGUGUUGACAGGUAAAGAUGUUGGAAAAUAUAAUGAUUUUUAAUGUUUUUAAAAGCAUGAUUUGAUUUUAAAGAAACUGUUAUUUAGGACCUAGAAUGUUUUAAUAAAUAUUCAGAGUAAUAUUAAAAAAAACCCAAUUCUAUUCUUUAUUUUUAAACAAAUGUGC